GGGAGCAUAGCUCAGGGGUUCAGAGCGCCUGCUUGACAAGCAGGAGGUCUGCAGUUCAAAUCUGCAUGUUCCCA
rnacentral:tRNA from 5 species